CUGAUGUGUAGUUGCAGUUGGAGACCAUCUGCUUGGCGGCUUGGGCGAGGCAGGCGUCGCAGUCGCCGCCGGAGACGUCGCCGCGGCACUGCGCGAGGCCGUAGAAGACCUCGGAGCCCCUGCCGGCCUUGGAGGUGGCGAAUCCGCCGCCGGUGCGCGCCUUGGCGACGAGGUCGGAGACGACGAAGUUGACGGCGCGCCGCCUGGUGACGGCCUCGCUGCUGUUGAGAUCGCCGUAGUUCAUCCACGUCUCCGAGCAGAAGCUGCCGAUGGGAUCAUACGUCGUCGCCGCCAUGCCCAGUGGGAGCAAGGCAACCAAUGAGACGACGGCGACCAGUACCAGCUGGCUUAAUGCCGCCAUGGAUGGCGCCAAUUAUGUACUCUCACACUCUCACUUCACCUAGAUUCAAUUCUUGCUAGCUACUGGAGUAGUAGAGAUCGAUCGAUGUCGAUCAGCAGAUGUAGGUGGCUAUAGCUGGGUUGUGUGUUCGAUCGGGAGCAAUGGCUGGAGCUUAUAAAGGCGAGGAUUGGAAGGGAAGGAGAGAGAGAUCGAUGUGCUUGCAGUAUAUUGCAGGGGAACAUAGUAGACAGACAUAGUAUCACAACCCUUGUUCUUGCUUGC
rnacentral:sRNA from 1 species